rnacentral:misc_RNA from 1 species
UCCUGGUUAACCCAGGCAGUCUCGUUAGAGUUCCCACCUUCACGUGUUGGCAACUAACGAUAAGGGUUGCGCUCGUUGCUGGACUUAACCAAACACCUCACGGCACGAGCUGACGACAGCCAUGCAGCACCUAUAUAGAGACCCUUUCGGGAAACAUCAUCUCUGAUGUCGUCCUCUACAUUUCGAGCCCAGGUAAGGUUCUUCGCGUUGCAUCGAAUUAAACCACAUGCUCCACUGCUUGUGCGGGCCCCCGUCAAUUCUUUUGAGUUUCACCCUUGCGAGCGUACUCCCCAGGCGGCAUACUUAAUGCGUUAGCUCCGAUACAGGGGGGGGUUGAGCCCUCCUACAUCUAGUAUGCAUCGUUUAAGGCAUGGACUAC